rnacentral:rRNA from 1 species
CCCUUAGAUGUUCUGGGCCGCACGCGUGCUACACUGAGUAAAUCAAUGGGUAAGGGAACACGAAAGUGCAACCUAAUCUUCAAAUUUGCUCGUGAUGGGGAUCGACGGUUGCAAUUUUCCGUCGUGAACGAGGAAUACCUUGUAGGCGCGUGUCAUCAUCACGCGCCGAAUACGUCCCUGCCCUUUGUACACACCGCCCGUCGCUCCUACCGAUUGAAUGCUCAGGUGAGCCAUUCGGACCUUCAUCAUGCCGGUUUCCGGUUUUGAUGAGGGAAAGUCUUGCGAACCUUAUCAUUUAGAGGAAGGAGAAGUCGUAACA